UCGAAUGAUGCCGGUUAAACAGCUGCAAGCAAGCGAGAAACCGAACCUUCAGCUAUGCCUGGAAAAUGUAAAUUCCAGGACUCGUGGCUCACCAAAAACAUUUACAAAGACUGGCUUGUUAAAAAUAUGCGGGAGAUCCAUAUGGCCCGAUGCAGAGCCUGCAGCAAAUCAAUAAAAGUUCACGCCAUGGGCGAAGCAGCUGUGACGAGCCAUGCUUCUGGAGCAUCACACAGGACGGCAGUCCGCCAGUUAAAAGCAGCUCCCACUCUCUAUUGAACUAUGUGGAAAAGUCAUUGUCAUCUACAUCACCACCUAGACAGUCUUCUACAACUACUACCACAUGCACCACCUCAAGACAGUCCAUCAUAACUGUCCUUCCCAGUUAUGACACAUUGCGGACUGAGACAUUGUGUUGUCUGAAUAUGAUGGAGUCUCACUAAUCUUUCCACUCUAGUGAACGCACGGGUGUGCUGUUCUCAGCGAUGUUCCCAGACAGUGCAAUAGUCAAGACCUUCGCAUGCGGGGCAACAAAGUCCAGCUAUGUGUGCACACAUGCAAGCCUCAGUAGAGCGUGGAUUCUCCAUAAAUCGUCAGAUUGAUGGAGACCACGUAGUCUGCCAUCACUGUAACACAGCACAAUUGAGAAGUGUUCACACAUUCAAGCCUCUCUUUAAUUGUCUGUGAGCUUCUGUAAAGCCUGCUAGUUCUCAUUAUAAAAAUUCCUCAGUGUUGUAACGGUAAUUAACCUUGAUCUGUGUCUCAAACUAUGCUGUGUUGGGUCCUUGAAUUGGGCCUGGAAAGUCCUUGAAUUUGAUGUUUAAGAAGGUGUGGGAACCCUGUAUGUAAUUCUAGGUUAAUUACGGGGUUGUACUGUUAUGAGAACUUCACAGCAGAGCAGAGACACAGGGUGAUAACAGAAAAACCUUUGCUUGUCAAGACACAACACAAACAUUCAGAAACAAGCCCACUUUUGAUAUUCGUAAACUUACUACACUACCCUGAUUUUUAUCGAAUGGUAUUAGAUUCUGUAAUCAAGUGUUGUGUAGUGCCGCUAACAAGGUUACUGGAUGUCAUGGAGGCUUGUUCAUUUCAGUUAGUUGAAUUGUCAAUAGAAUAUGCUCUGAAUGCAAAGGAGGCAUAUUGCUGACAAUACAUGUUCUGAUAUGUGCUAGAAUAUAAUUUUACCCCAAUACACCUUUCCUUUGCCAACACUUUCAGUCAAUACGUCAAUGUGGACGCACCGGCUUCAGCAUUAAUGUGUCAUCUAUUAUGAGUUGGUUCACGCUCUCUUGUUCACAUCAUUCCGAGGUGAUGGCGCCUCCCGUCUAUGUUCUUGUCCUGCAAUUUCAUGUCAGCACUCUUCUAUUCACAUUCCUACCCACACACCUCUGCCUGCCUCUCUCUCGAUUUUAUACCCUGUCUGUAUUAAAUUGCAAUAUGUCAGUUUACCCAUAGAUAACACACCAUUUCAAAUCUCACUCUUGACAGAGAGACUGGUCACAGAGACAUUCUCUCUCAACCUGCUUCAACCUGCUUCUCAACAUUAAAAAAGAUUCCUUUAGCAGAUUGUGAAAUGUUAGAUAUACUGUAGCAGAUGUUUAAAGGAGAUGGUAGACACUCAGACAGUGGGACUAGUCUGUGAAAUCUAUGAAUUUAAGAAUGGUUACAUACAUUCUCCAUCACCAUCCCUCAGCUGUUUAACAAAAAAAGUGGGGGGGGUUUACAACACUGUUUGAAUCCCAGA